rnacentral:rRNA from 1 species
UUGAAUGGCCGCAGUAUUUUGACUGUGCAAAGGUAGCAUAAUCAUUAGUUUCUUAAUUAGAAGCUAGAAUGAAGGGUUGAACGAGAAAAUAACUGUCUCAUAGUUAAAUUUUUAGAAUUUUAUUUUUAAGUUAAAAAGCUUAAAUAAUUUUAAAAGACGAGAAGACCCUAUAGAGUUUUAUAUAAAAAUUUAUUAAAAUAUUUUUUAAGAAUAUUUAAAUUUUUAAUUUAAUUUAUAUUUAAUUGGGGUGAUUAAAAAAUUUUUUAAACUUUUUUUUUAUAUAAACAUUAAUUUAUGAAUUAUUGAUCCAUUAUUUAUGAUUAUAAGAUUAAAUUACCUUAGGGAUAACAGCGUAAUUUCUUUUUAGAGUUCAUAUCAAUAAAGAAGUUUGCGACCUCGAUGUUGGAUUAAAAUUAAAUUUUGGUGUAGAAGCUAAAUUAUUAGGUCUGUUCGACCUUUAAAAUUUUACAUGAUCUGAGUUUAAACCGGUGUAAGCCAGGUUGGUUUCUAUCUUUAAAUAAAUUAAAUAUUUUAGUACGAAAGGACCAAAUAUUUAAAAUAUUUUUUUUAAAUAAUGAAUAUUAUUAAAUA